rnacentral:rRNA from 1 species
UACGUAGGGUGCGAGCGUUAAUCGGAAUUACUGGGCGUAAAGCGUGCGCAGGCGGUUUUGUAAGACCGAUGUGAAAUCCCCGGGCUCAACCUGGGAACUGCAUUGGUGACUGCAAGGCUGGAGUGCGGCAGGAGGGGGAUGGAA